AUGGAGAACGUGCUGGGAUGUGCAUUCAUAGACUUGUGGCUUCAGCUUGGCAGGUUGAGCGGAGAAGACCAGGUGGAGCAGCGUCCUCAGACCCUGAAAGUCCAGGAGGGAGAGGACAGCCGCAGCCUCAGCUGCAGCUACACGGCCAGCUCUUUCAGGGGAAUGCAGUGGUUCAGACUAGAUCCCGGGAAGGGCCCCGAACUCCUCUUCCUUCUGCUCUCAGUUGGGGAUGAAAAGCAGAGCGAAAGACUAAGAGCCACAGUGUCAAAGAAUGGAAGUUCUCUGCACAUCGCAGCCCCUAAACCUGAAGACUCAGCCGCUUCCCUCUGUGCUGUGGAGGCACCGCGCUCCCCAGGCAGCUGCAGUCUGUGCCCAAACCCUGCAGCUGGGGCUCCGGAGUGA